rnacentral:rRNA from 1 species
UACGUAGGGUGCAAGCGUUGUCCGGAAUUAUUGGGCGUAAAGAGCUCGUAGGCGGUCUGUUGCGUCGGCUGUGAAAUCCCGAGGCUCAACCUCGGGCCUGCAGCCGAUACGGGCAGACUAGAGUGCGGCAGGGGAGACUGGAAUUCCUGGUGUAGCGGUGAAAUGCGCAGAUAUCAGGAGGAACACCGGUGGCGAAGGCGGUUCUCUGGGCCGAUACUGACGCUGAGGAGCGAAAGCCAGGGGAGCAAACGGG